GAUGAAGAACGUAGCGAAAUGCGAUAAGUAAUGUGAAUUGCGGAAUUCAGUGAAUCAUCGAAUCUUUGAACGCACAUUGCGCCCGCUAGUAUUCUGGCGGGCAUGCCUGUCCGAGCGUCAUUUCAACCCUCAAGCCCCCGGGCUUGGUGUUGGGGAUCGGCGAGCCUCCGCGCCCGCCGUCCCCUAAAUCUAGUGGCGGUCUCGCUGUAGCUUCCUCUGCGUAGUAGCACACCUCGCACUGGGAAACAGCGCGGCCACGCCGUUAAACCCCCAACUUCUGAACGUUUGACCUCGGAUCAGGUAGGAAUACCCGCUGAACUUAAGCAUAUCAAUAAGCGGAGGA
rnacentral:misc_RNA from 1 species